CGAGAAUCUUGCAGACUGCGAUCAAAAAACAAGCCCAUGUGGCCAAUCAGCCCAUGCCGAAGAGGGGAAGGCCAGAAAAAGGAGGCAUAAAGGCUGAAUAGCUUUAAUUUACUUACCAAGAGUUAUGCCCGCAAGGCACCUUCGGCCAACAUACUUUCCUCGGGAUUUCGGCACUGAGACGUCAUCGCCCACAACCACGAGCUCGACGUUUUUCAAACCAGCUGAUUGAGCCAUGAGUUUGGCUAGCCCGAAAUGAAGGUUGUCGCCAGUAUCUAUUAAUAUUUAAUUAGCGCCAUUUCAAGCGUUCCCUGAGGUUUGCUUCAACCGCAUGGAGAGCCCAGACCCAGAUAGAAGCAAUGAGAAGAAGCAAAAAAGACCCACAGUUUGUAAUAAUAAGAAUGGUACCCUUGUCGCUGUGGACGCGCUUGAUAGCCUCCAUGACCUGCCUCGCACUAGGACUGGCAAACACAUCGCCAGCGACACUCGCUGUGAGCAAACCAGCUCCAACAAAUCCGACAGUACCAGGCUCAUGGCCGGAACCACCACCGCAAAUAAGGGAAACCUUGGAAGGGUCGUGGUCUGCUCGGUAGACGACCUUCUGGGAGGGGAUCAAGGAAAGAUAAGGGUGAGAGGCAACGAGACCUCUGAUGGAUCGAAAGACCAGAGUCUUGUGGUCUGGGAAGAUGUGUCGGUCUGUCAUUGUUGUGAACGCAACGAAGGAUGGGAUAGAGAGGAAAAAAGCAGAGGAGGGGAAAGAAAUGAAAAGAUCGUUUAUGAGCCAGCUCUAUAACUGAAUGGUACAUCACGGGAUUGAUAUUUGUCUGUACGAACUUGU
rnacentral:sRNA from 1 species